rnacentral:rRNA from 1 species
UUACUCCUACGGGAGGCAGCAGUGGGGAAUAUUGGACAAUGGGCGAAAGCCUGAUCCAGCCAUGCCGCGUGUGUGAAGAAGGUCUUCGGAUUGUAAAGCACUUUAAGUUGGGAGGAAGGGCAGUUACCUAAUACGUGAUUGUUUUGACGUUACCGACAGAAUAAGCACCGGCUAACUCUGUGCCAGCAGCCGCGGUAAUA